UACGGGGGGGGCAAGCGUUGUUCGGAAUUACUGGGCGUAAAGGGCUCGUAGGUGGCCAACUAAGUCAGACGUGAAAUCCCUCGGCUAAACCGGGAGAGGUCGUUGGAUACUGGCAAACUAGAGGACGGUAGAGGCGUGUGGAAUUCCGGGUGUAGUGGUGAAAUGCGUAGAGAUCCGGAGGAACACCAGUGGCGAAGGCGACACGCUGGGCCGUACCUGACGCUAAAGCGCGACAGCAUGGGGAGCAAACGGG
rnacentral:rRNA from 1 species